CGCCGCGGGCCAGUCACGCAACGAAACCGUCUCCUCAUCUCCGUCCGCCGUCCGCUGGCGACAUCUCGACGCCCAGAGGUUCCCCGCCUCCUCCCCUCUCCGUGCUGUACUCCUCCCCAUGUGCUCCUCCUUCGCCGCCAACGUCCACCGCAUCCGACGCGGUCCUCGAACGACGCCGCCGUCUAUGACCUCCGCCACCGACGCCCGCUGUCCCUUGACGCGCACCGUCCGCCGCCGGCUCCGCCGUCCUCCAACGCCGCCGACUUCCUCCGCUACCGAAGUCCGCUGUCCCGUGACGCGCACCUUCCGCCGCCGACGCCGUCGACCACUUUCCCACGAAGCCCACGAAACUGCCGCCGCCUGCAGAUCUCCGUACCUGUAGUUCGCCGACGGAGGAGGGGGGUGCGCCCACUGUGCACCGCGGUGAGCGCCAUCCAGCGGGACACGACACUGUGGGGGACGCUGCUUAUUAAGGACCCCCGCUGCUCCGCCGCCGCCCUCGUCCUCGACGUCUGUAGUACGGAGUAAUUUCUUGUAAACGACACUGCAGUUCGAUUAAAAUAUUUGCUAGCGACUUUUGGUUUUGCAGCUUUCCAUCUACUUGUUGGAGGCACUUGGAUGCUAUGGCCUUUAUAUGAUUGGAUUUGGGUUGAUGUUCUUCCCGACCUAUCAUCAAGAAGCCACCACAGGUAGCUGAUGUAGUGAUAGCAAGAAAAGGUAAUUUUUAUCCAAGCAUUCUCAUUGCCAUUUUCUAGGUCAUGAUUUAACCUCUGUGGUUUCUAAUUAUUUUGCGAUAUUUUUCUUUGCCAACAUUUCAACGAGAUCAUGAUACCUUUAUGCUUUGUUAGUUAGAAUUUGAAGUCCAGACAAAGAAACUGUAGUAGUCUGUCACAAUAGUUUCAGUCUAAUGAGUAAUGACCCUAAAUCAGAAUGACUAAAGCUUGAGUAAUGACCGUAAAUCAGAAUAAUGGAGAAAGGUAAAAGUUCACUGCCCCUUCAUGUUGGUUGGUUGCUUGGGCUCUGUAUAGCUAUUAUUAUGCAAAUCAUUACGAUGUUAGGGCAUUUUCUUGCUGCAUCUGAAAUAGUAAUGGAAACUGGACAUGUUUCUACAUACUAACCUCUUGGUCUAGAAUUCCAGAUUGCUAUAUUUCAGCAAUUCUUCUGUUUUUAUUCUUAUGGUAAAGUUUUGGUAUUACUUGUCGAAAUUACUUGACAAAGUAAAAGACUCUGGCCUCUUAUUUUAGUGUCAUGCAUGGUUAUUGGUUUGUGAGAACUAUCCUUGCAUAUGUUUUAUCUUCCGCCAACAGGACCGCAAUUUUUCUCAGAGGUUUUUAUGAUGGGUGAUUUUUUAUCUUUUCAUUCUAUUAGAAAUAUGAUUAUAGGAAUGCAAGAGUCAGUCUUUUCCUGUUUGCCAGAUCUGCAUGAAUGUUCUGUUAUGAAAAUCAGGCUAUUGUAUAAAUGUAUGUCUCAUUUAUUUCUUUUCCAUACUGUUAGUAGAUUUCAUGGAUCUAUUUGUAGUCUCAAACUUAAUGCAUUUACCAAUAUCUUUCCCUAAACUCAAACAGCACGCCAUAACUACGGUCUAUUUGUUCAUAGAACAUGUUAUCUUCUUAUUUUCUAGCACAACUAUUUCCGGAGCUUGAUGUGAUUAUCUAAUUACUCUACUUAUUCGUGCGAUGUUAAUUUGAUCAAACGGUAUACAAGAUAUGUAAUCACAUCAGUUCGUACUGAAUACGACUAGAUGGGUAUAAUUGUAGCUGUACGAUCAAGGCUGUCCAGUCCAUGUCGUAAUCAGGGAAAAACUAUUCGGACCGCUGAGAUUACACCGGCUGCGAAACACGUUGUUCCAGCAAGAGAACAACCUUUCCUGUGCAACCAAGAUCCACGGUCCUGUCCAUGGACCUGGCCAUGGGCAUGAAGGGUGGAGGGCUGGAAGAUAGGCAAGAGAGGGCUGGAAGAUAGGCAAGAGAGGCUGCAGCACUUUAGGGGCAAGGGCGGUAUAUCUAUAUACUACACGGUAUUUUCGGUACUGAUGUUCUUUUAUUUUUCCUCUCUAUUCAAUUUUUUCUACAAUUCAUAGAUAGUUCUAGACUUCCUUUUUAAGCAAACGAAGACUUAUUCACAUGCCAUCGGCAUCAUACGAAAACAGCUCACAUGCAUGAUUGGAUGAUUGAGCUAUGAUAUUUCUCCCGGAGAGGUUGGAUAGACCUUUAUAUAUGAUUAACACCCCAAUGGAAUGCCCAAUUUCCUUAUUUUGAACCAUUGUCAUUUUGGCACAUGCAUGCUGCAUGAUAACUUAAGUUCCUUACAUGUAUCCUAACUCCUAGUUUCUUCUUUUCAGCGAAUUUAAUUUGAUCUAUUAGUUCCAUUCCUCGCAUCACGUCUAUUUAUCGAGGGAGAGCUCCUUCAUGUAGAAACCUUUGCAUUCCAUUGCUACCACAUCCAUCUUAGUCUGGGACGAUGGAUGCACCCGGGUCCAUCGGGUCCAGGUCUGGUACAUACCAGCCCAUACCCGUUGUCGAGUCAAAAAAUCUACCAGACCUGGCCCCGAUUCGGGUCUCGCAGACCCGUGGGUCUACCCGACCCGACCUGCGCCACCUCACAUCUCAGGGUGAACGUUCGAACUGGACCUAGCCCGUGGCGAGCUGAGCCAGCUCGCCCCGAGCCCGAUUUUUUUUAGCCCGAGCCGAGCCCAAGAAAACGGCCCGUCAAAUCUUCAGGGCCGAGCCAAGCCCAGCUGGGUCGAAUUUUUUCUACAAUUCAUAGAAAUUCGCCACGGCCCCGCUGCAUUGCGCCGCCGGCCGCCGCCAUGGAUAAGGUCACCGCAGCCGCCGCGAAGGAGAAGGAGCGCACCAUCGAGCUGCUGUUGUGCCCGGGUGUCUGUGCCUGCGCUGCUGCUUGCUGUUGGUGUUGAUGUGCAUGUACUGCUUCUUGAUGUUGCCGCUGUUGUCUGCUUGCCAGCUAAUGUUGCUCGCUCUGCUACUGACGCUGGUGAUGAUUACUAGCGCUUACGGCGAGGCGUCGAGGUGGUCGGCCUGCCAGUGCCGCUUGCUGUGUGUGCUGGGAGGAGCUCGUCCAGAUCCGGCCGGACGAGGAGCACCCCAUCGAUCUGCAGCGCCAGGCGGAAGCACAGUGGGAGCUCGUUCAGAUCCGUCCGAACAAAGAACGCCAUGGCGAUCUGUAGUGCUAGGCAGAGACGCGGCGAGGAGGAGGAACUAGCGACGUAGAGACUGCUCGUGGAAAUUGACUCGGGAGGAGGCUCGUGCACGGGAGAGAAAGAGUGCAGAGACUGUGGCGGCGUUGAGGCCUUGAGGUAUGGGCCGAGGUCCACCUAGGUAUGGCACAUGUUUGAUGUUUGAAGUCUCUGAAGUCUGAAUCGGGUAUGCAGGUAUGUGAGUUCAGGUCUGGCAUGUGAGUUCGGGUCUGGCAAUACCAGACCCGGACCGCUAGACCCGUCGGGUCCGAAAAUUUAGCAAUAGCAGACCAGUGGGGAUUUAUUUUUACCAAACCCUCGUGCUAAUCGGGUCAAAACCCGUCGGGUAUUCGGGUAUCAGGUCCCCAUUGCCAUUUGUAUCUGGGACCAUAUCAUUAUGGAGAGGCCGUCCUAUUCAUCUACCACUACCACUCCAUAUCACAUUUUAUUUGGGAUGUUCCCCCAUCCAUGUGUGGGUAAUCAGUUGUAGUCACAUAGGUGAAUUAGAAUUGGAGGAUUUUAAACACGUAUGAUGAGAUUUAGGAGGGGUAGAUUUUGGUGCCUUUUCAUGGAUGAGGAAAAGUAAAGAACAAUAUCAAGUGUCAUUUAUAGAAGGAAAGGAGAUGACGAAACGACACCACAAGGAGAGGCCCAUGGGCUCCACGUGCCCCCAGGCGUCCUAGCCCUGGGGCGCACCAACAUGGUGCGUGGACCCGCCUGCCCCCAUGGGGUUGCCCUUUUAAGUGUGCCUUUGUUGUUACAAAAUUGGGGCUACCCUACAGUAAGUUGUCUUCUCCUAUAUGGGAGCGGGCAGAUCCCGCGCACUGUCUGCACCUGGGGGAAAUUGUAGCCAUUGUCGUCCUCGACUCCUUCGCAUAAUGAGGAGCACCGUCGUCACCGCCAUCUUCAUCUCCAUCAAUGAAAACACUGUUACCAUCUCCAUUACCGUUUCCGACUUCAUCCCCUCAUGAUAGGUGUACGUUUAAACUCGCAAUAACUUUUCGGUGUCAUGCAUGUUAUUGAUUGACACCUUGUUUUGCUUUGGUGCCUGAACUCUAUUUCAGAUUGUAUAGUCCUUCGUUAUGCCUAUGACCAUUGCCAUGAUUUGCUGUUGUCACUAGUUUGUUAAGUUACUGAGGCCAUGGGAGAAACUCUAGUCAUGGUUUUUAUACGAUUUACAAUAAGGUUGAGAAAUGGUUUUAUAUUUUGAUGUUAUCUCUAAUUGUAUUGUGUGAACGCCAACUCAUGUUACACUAUUUAUGGGCUUUAGAGGGUGACACCAUGUUAUGAAUUGAGGAGAGAAGGAAGGAGUGACUAGAAACGGUUUCCCCAAUCUUGGAUUUCUUGCAUGGGGGAAUUGUGCAGACCUCGGGUCUUAAUGAUUACACUUUUGCCUUCAUAUUUUUUUUUUGCUCUCAGAUGAUGUAGCUUGAUAUAACCACAAGUUAUAUUUUAUUAGAGAAACUGCAUCGUUGGUCUAUCAACUUGGCAGCCGUGUGCAGAUGGUCAGCGUACAUGAGAACCGUUAAAAACAAGUGUUAUAAUUUGGCAGGUCUGAGCACUUGCGGUCAAAAAUACGAAUUCGUAUGUUCGGAUUGUGACGUGGCAUGCCGACGUGUAGAAAGCAGGCUGAGACGGCCAUUCAAUCUUGCAAAUUGCCCCCUCCUUUCUCGUCCCAGUAUCAACCCCAUUAACCUGAUAUCUCAUCCCGAAACGACGCCCAUAAAAGGGGAGGUGAUGUCAUCAUUGGCAUUGUGCUGCUCGUCUGGCUAGGAGUAUGUUCUCGCGAUUGAUGUCGCGGUGCAAGAUGCAGUCCCUAAACACCUCGUCGCGGUAGGUGAUGCCGCACGUUGUCCCGACGGCGACUGUGAACUGAGGUGUGCAUAGUUCCGGGACUCCCGUUGCUCCGCGCGCUUUGAUCACCUCAUUUGGCGACCCCUUUGCCUCUGUCAUCCCGGAGUUCGAUGAGCUCACUGACGUGAUUGAACGUGACAAUGACCUUGCGAUGGUUCCAACCUAUGUCCUAGCCAACAUGCUGAGGCCCAACAUCGAUGUAGUCACCAUGGGGCUCGUGGGAGGGCGUGGCUCGUCGCGGCGGCGUCGUGCGCAUAACGUGAUCGUUCAGAUGGUGUCUGCGGGACGAGAGUGCUGCGGCGCUUGCCGCUUGUUUCGUCUCUCCGUUGAAUGUUUCCCUCCCACCCCUUCUGUUCUGAUGAGCUUCACGUGUUGCGCCAUGGUGCCGAACAAGAGGCCUGCCAUGAAGGACCCCUACAUCUUCUGGUUUGAUUUUUUUGUUUCCAGAUCCGACAUUUGUUCAUCCUUUGGCAACUUGUCUCCUGCAGCUCCUUCCUCCCUCCUUUGAUUAUGAUUUUUUUGUUUCCAGAUCUGAUAUUCAUGACAUGUACCUGAUAGUUGUUCUUGAAUUUUUAUUUGGGAACCCUCUAAAAUUCUUACUUAGCUCAUGGAAUCUCUUUCCCUUCCUCUCUUUCAUUAUUUGCAAAUUUCGUUGGCUCUCAAAUGUCUGCGGUCGCGAGGCGGCAUGGUAGGCAGAGGUAGUUGAACUUGCUCAAGAACACCUUGCCGUUUGAGCGGUGUGCGCAACGGCCGAUGGCGAGGCUGAUGGGGAUCGAGGAGCUGAGGCAGACUCGCUGAAGGACACCUUGCCGGAGGUGUUGAGGCGCGGCCGGUCGACAACAACACGGUGGCGAUGGAGGUGGGAGGCGCAGUAGAGUGGUUGGAUUUACAACAUUGAAAGAUUUAGGUGUGUUCUGCAAAAAGACAAGUACUUCAUAGUGAAAAGGUGAAAGAUAUGAAGUCUUUGUCGAAAGAGAUGGAGGUGUUGAGGCGCGGCCGGUCGACAAUAGCUGUGGAUGGGGGCGAUGGAGGGUGGGAGGCGUAGUAGAGUGGUUGGAUUUAUAACAUUGAAAGAUUCAUGUGUGUUUUGCAAAAAGACAAGGACUUCAUAGUGAAAAGGCGAAGAGAUGGAGAUCUUUAAAGAAAAUAACAAUCUCCAAGAAACGGACGAGCAUGAUAAUAGGGGACCCAUCCAUAUGCACUACAAGAAUUGGGGUAGUGAUGUUUUGAUUAUGACAGCCUAGUAGACUGUCAUGCAAAUUCAGAAAUCCUGCCGAUUUGGUCUUGGAUGGUUGGAAAGCCCAUGGGCCUUGAGACUAUAUGGGUGGAAAGAGGUGUUCGAUCUUUCUUAUUCUUUGACAAACGUAUGAGAGCAAGAAAAUGGCGUGGACCUAGCCAUUUAGCCCCUGCCUGAUAAAUUGAGGGGUCCCUUGGUAAGAUUACCAUGGGUUGGCGCCAAAAACCAAAAUGGCCUGAAAUGAGCCAUCUAGUCCAUGUCAGCACACAACUUCAUGGACCGAACCGGCGGCACGUGUUUUUGACAACGUUAGCUCAAACGUGCGAAGUUAUAACCCCUGUUCUUACCAGUUUUCAUGUAUGAUGAUGACCAAUCUUCACAUGCCCGCCAAGUUGAUAGACUAACGGUGUGUUUUCCUCAUUUUAUUACGUAUGUGUGUAUAAUUAGCAUUGGCUCCUCAUACAUGAGAAAGAACCGAAUUACCUUUCUUAAACCAUGAAGUAUUGAAGCGUACGAUCCAUAAAAUACCCACAGUGCUAAGGAACAUUUGAUGUUAUUGAAUGCAAUCUUGGGACUGUCCUCAACCAUAUUUUGGGGAUUGGGACACCCAUGAACUUUUAUUAUGAUCUUAGGUAUAUAGUUUCUUGCUUUAUAAUAACCUAGGAAACAAUUGCUACUCAACAUUCUUUUGCGGCAUUUAUGGUUAUCUCUACACCGAUUUCUCACGCCAAUUACUACAUCUCCUCGUUGUGUUCGACACUCUUAUUGAAAUGUGCUAUAAUGGACCCACUACAAUUGUGGGUAUCAUCAUGCAGAACAAUAAAAAGAGUUGAGAGAGGGUAGAGGCAGUGGUGCUAAAAGAGAAGAAGUCAACAAGCUUGUUCUAUAGUAUCUAAUGUGCACAUAAACAUUAUUAUUUACCUCUAGGAUGAUAUGCAUAUUGGGGAUGAGAAAGUCAAUGGCCUUAAUUUUUUUAUGGAUGUUGGGGGAAGCCAUGGCUCCUGUCGGUCACGCCUCCGCCAUUAGGCGCCGUCCGCAAGCAAUAGUGUUGCUCUGUAUAUGCACGCCAAAUAUGUCAAUAUACUUGUUCCUCACUGCCUACCCCCACCCCCAACCAUGCCUCGUCGGAGCUUCGAUGUGGUCGCCAUCGCCUUUUCCUAGCCGCCCAAUGCCUUGACAACAGCACUGGGCGCCUCGAUUUCCUUAUUUCCUACUAUAUCGGCACUAAGUCUUUGACUAGGAGAUAGGGACGGAGAAGGAUUGACGAAGAGGUGGUGCUCAUAGCCAGGCACCAGAGAUGGCGGUUCCGCGCAAGAGGUUCACACGCAUCGGGAUGUGCUCGCCGCUCUCUUUAUCUGCUCGCUUAUCGCUCUACGGUCAUCCUGGAGUUGAGAACUUCGGUGAUUGAUUUGGGAUUAUUAGACAUUGCUUCUCUAAGUACUUUGGAGGCCCAUUGCUUGGUGCAUGAUAACGUGCUGAAUAUUAAAAGUAAAGAGAUAAAUGUUUGAGAGGGUAAAUCUACUUGUUCUUAUUCAACGUGCCUGUUUCACUUACAUCCAUGAUGAGGGGUUGCAUUCAGGAGGCAUCUCAUCCUCAUUAGACACCUGCUUCGAGGAAUGAUCCCUUACGACAACUAUAUUCUAACAAAUAUGAGUAGCUUUUGACAAGAAAUGUCGUUGUAGGCGACAUAAUUAAAUGUAUUCCGAUUUUGGGCCCAUGGGAUCAAACUUCAAUUGCAACUUCAUCUGAAAGGAAUCAGACCUCUUGUUCAUCCUAAAUGUGUGUCAUGACUAAUUCUCUAACUAAUGAUUGAUGUAGACAAGGUUAAUGUCGGUAACAUAUUUUUUUAAAUAUUCCGUCGGCCGCCUACUUAAUGUCUGCCACUUGUUGCUUGACUCACCAUUCCCGUGGGAGCGAAAAACGCGCUUCCCGCCUUAGACAACCCCUCAUCACAUGGAGGGACACUGGUUGAAAGGAGGUACACCCCCUACGUGAACAACCACUAGGCAAUCUUGUGUCUCUGCCAUUAGGCGAACUGCACAUGCAAUACUCCUUUACCCGAUACCUCACCCACACUGGGCCUAGGCGGAGCUCCAGUUGAUUUGUUAUAUACCAGCUUUGAACCAACCGAAUUGUGGUAAUUUCCUUUUCUUGGUUCUGGAGUUUCUUGAGAUGUAGUUUUGCAACAGAGGUGUUCGCUUGAGGCCCCUGCUGUAGAAUCCAAUGGAACACUAGUUGCUUUCACACCAUCGGCCUUUGCAUUAUCAGGUCAGUUGAUUUGUUAUAUACCAGCUUUGAACCAACCGAGUUGUGGUAAUUUUCGUUUCCUGGUUCUGGAGUUCCUUGAGAUGUAGUGUUUGCAACAGAGGUGUCCGCUUGAGGACCCAUCUGUAGUAUCCAAUGCAACACCAGUUGCUUUCACAUCAUCGGCCUUUGCAUUAUUAGGUCCAGUUGAUUUGUUAUAUACUAGCUUUGAACCAACCAAGUUGUGGUAAUUUUCGUUUCCUGGUUCUGGAAUUCCCUGAGAUGUGGUGUUUGCAACAAAGGUGUCCGCUUGAGGCACCUGCUGUAGACUCAAGUCAUGCGUGUGUGGCAAGAGGGUUCAUAUGGUUCCCAAAUGCAGGUGAAUCACCGUUUGCCAGAUGAUUUCAUAUGGUUCCCGUAGCAGCCGGUAGAAGAAGGUUGUGGUUGACGGUUUACCAGUAGGCAAAGACAGCCUGACAUGGUCGGCGACCGAAGGCGGCAGGUGUUUUCUAAGGUGUCCAAGUUUCGUGCCUGUGGUUGAUAGAUUAGGAUGCAGCCAGUGGCCGCAAUACACCCGCAAUGAAUUAUGAAGAAAAUAGAUGAGGAGAUUCACCAUUGAUCUUAGUAUGGCUCCUUAAGAGAAACUUAGAUGAAGUAGUUGUUAUUACUUCAUACCAAGGUUUAUGUAUACAGUAUUCUUCAUCUUGGCAGAUGUGUUUAGUACACACGUCUAGUGUUAAUACCAUGUGAACCUAGAGGUCAUGCUAUCACUACACCUUAUUUAGGUUAUGUUACUUCUAAUAAUAGUAGUACAUGGAAGGAUUUCUACAUACUUGGCCAAUAAGGUUCUAGAGAAAACAGAAUGGAGAUAAGCCAUAUAGAAUCAUUUGCAAAGUAUAUCCGCCAUUUGGUUGAGCCAACACAUUUAGCUUGAUCUUCUUGGUUGAUCCCUUAGAGAUAGGUUUUCAAGUACAUUUUCCAUAUGUUAUUGCCUUAUAAAUGUGUACCUUUUAAGUAGAGCAUUGUGAUCGUACACAUCAUUUACUAACCCUUGUGGCAGCAAUUGCACAUUUACAAGCUUUACGCCAUCACCGCUAGCUCUCAGUUAGGUGAUUCUCCGCCGCCGCAGGUCCGAAGUGUCUGACGAGCAGGCGGUUGUGCUUGCGGGUCGAAGCCGAGCGCCAAAGAGACUGGACCCCGGCGUGGGGAGAUUGGUGUGCGGAAGAGGUUGCUCAUGGGGUCCUUGACGUGCUCGCCUUGCCAGGGCUUCUUGCGGGACGUGCACGCCUUCACCGAGUGCAUCCACACCUCACCUAUGAGUUCUCCCUUCUCUACCCCACUCCUGCCGCCUCUCCAGCUGUCGUCGCCGCGUGCCUCCAUCCCAACAAGCCGUUGGAGGCACCGCAGGACCGACCCGAUGGGCUCGUGUCGACCGCGCGGCGGGGAAGAAGGGUAGCCGGCGCGCGGCGAGGUUUCCCUCUUGCUACAACGCGGCGGGGAUGGUGCAGACGCAGCCCAGCUCACAUUUGGCGAUAACACGAGACCCCUUCCGGCCUGCUCUCACCACCUCCAUCUCCGUAGCCAUGCCGCGUCUACCGUCGAGAUGCCGCCAGAAGCCGUGGCUGCCAUCGCGGCAGCAGCAGCCAUGCCAGCAACGGGUUUCUCAGCCAGUGCUGUGGUCGUUGGAGCCACCACUUCUUCUGCUCCUAGUCCUAGAUGAGGAUCUCGUACCAGAGAACUACUCAUACGUGGACAACGUGGUGUGGCCUCUGAUUUACCAGGCGAUGGAAGGCCACAUGUCGCCUGCCCUCCUCUCCGCUUCCCACGCCGACAAGCUUGCCUACAGGCGAACCAUCCUCUACAAGUGCACUGUACAAGUGUUCCUAACUGUACAAUUCCUCAUGUGACCAUCUUUGUUUAACGGUUUGUCGAGAAUGCAUUAUGAAGAAAAUAGAUGAGGAGGAGAUUGAAUCUUGCUCAGUAUGCACAAUUGGUCUUGGUAUUGCUCCUUAAGAGAAACUCAGGUGAAGUAGCUGUUAUUACUCCGUACCAAGGUUUAUGUAUACAACAUUCUAACUUCAUCUUGGCAGACGUGUUUAGUACACACGGCUAGCAUUAAUACCAUGUGAACCUUCACAGGUCAUGCUCUCACCUUUUUUAGGUUAUGUUAUUUCUAAUAAUAUUAGUACAUGGAAUCAUUUCUGCAUACUUCGACUGUAAGGUUCUAGAGAAAACUGAUUGUCAGAAUGGCGAAAACAUGCUAUUGACA